ACGCGCCUACGGGGGGCAGCAGUGGGGAAUAUUGGGCAAUGGGCGCAAGCCUGACCCAGCAACGCCGCGUGAAGGAAGAAGGCUUUCGGGUUGUAAACUUCUUUUCUCAGGGACGAAUAGAUGACGGUACCUGAGGAAUAAGCCACGGCUAACUACGUGCCAGCAGCCGCGGUAAUACGUAGGUGGCAAGCGUUAUCCGGAUUUACUGGGUGUAAAGGGCGUGUAGGCGGGGGCGCAAGUCAGAUGUGAAAAACACGGGCUCAACCUGUGGCCUGCAUUUGAAA
rnacentral:rRNA from 1 species